rnacentral:rRNA from 1 species
GAUGAACGCUGGCGGCGUGCCUAAUACAUGCAAGUCGAGCGAACAGACGAGGAGCUUGCUCCUCUGACGUUAGCGGCGGACGGGUGAGUAACACGUGGAUAACCUACCUAUAAGACUGGGAUAACUUCGGGAAACCGGAGCUAAUACCGGAUAAUAUAUUGAACCGCAUGGUUCAAUAGUGAAAGACGGUUUUGCUGUCACUUAUAGAUGGAUCCGCGCCGCAUUAGCUAGUUGGUAAGGUAACGGCUUACCAAGGCAACGAUGCGUAGCCGACCUGAGAGGGUGAUCGGCCACACUGGAACUGAGACACGGUCCAGACUCCGACGGGAGGCAGCAGUAGGGAAUCUUCCGCAAUGGGCGAAAGCCUGACGGAGCAACGCCGCGUGAGUGAUGAAGGUCUUCGGAUCGUAAAACUCUGUUAUUAGGGAAGAACAAAUGUGUAAGUACUAUGCACGUCUUGACGGUACCUAAUCAGAAAGCCACGGCUAACUACG